rnacentral:lncRNA from 1 species
AUUUUUUUAAAAUUUCUUUUCCCCAGAGAUGUACAAGCGCUAUUGUCACACAAUAUACAACGGGCCAGUCACAAAGCACUGGUGCAGAAAUUUGUAGUGGUUUUUCCAGAUAUGGAAAUCAUACAUAAAUUACAGAGCAAAAAAAAAAAGAACAGAGGUUGAAAGAAAAUAAGAAGUUAAGCUGGCCACCAAGACAUUUCUCCUAUAUUAGUUUUGUUUUUCAAAAUUUGGCAAGGAACCAAGAGUUUCACCUGAACAUGUGACCUUAUAGCUUUUAACUAUGGCCCAGAGUUAUUCCUGGUUGUUGAAAAAUAAUAGUGACGAUAAUCAUGACAACGUACAACCAUUUUAAUGUUAAAAAAUUCCUUUGAAUAAACAAAGAGAUAUUUAGACUUAACAACAAUACAGCUUUUUCAAAUCUUAUUAUAAUGACUUUCCCCCCCUAAAUAUAUACAACCGAAGUCUGACUACACAGGAAUUAAUAUUUUCCACAUUAUUUUAGGCUAUUCCUUUAUACCAGUCCUUUCCCCAGAAUAAACCAUUGAGAAUGGUAAUUAGGUGAUAAUAAAAAAAAAAAAACUAUUUCUGCUAACAACAAUAUUAAAUAAAGACCCUACUCAACACACGAGCGUGCUGAGUACAUCAGCAUGCUGACACUACUUAGCAUGCUGACACUACUUAGCAUGCUGACAUCUCUAUCACUGUGAUCCCUAAUCCAUUCCAGGUGGACCACAUUUUUGUUUCAGCCCAGCACUAACACACUCAACUAAUCAAUGGCUUGGUGACUGGUUGAGCAAUUGAACAGUAGAAUCAGAAUGUGUUAGUGUUGAGCUAGAACAAAAAUGUGCACCUCAAGAAUAGAAACACUGUUCUAUAAUAUCUGUACAGGUAAGUCAGGGUAAACUGGAUGACAGUUGUGUCGUGCAGGGAUGGAUGAUGUCAGGUUUAGAAGAGUGCAGUGAGCUACAGGGAUCUUAUUUACCUAAUGUGGGGCACUAUUGGCUUAUCCUUAACAGGUCCUGGGUGAAUAAAUUGGAGUCUUGGGCACACAUUGUCCAAACAGUGUCCAUGGGUGGCAAACCAGCGCAGCCCAAUCCAGCCCAGCCAAGCCUGGCCAUGUCCGGUCCACUCCAGUCCAGUCUGGUCCAUCCCAGCCUGACACUGUCACUUUAAGGAGACCAGGUACAAUGCCAUCGUCAGACAGGUUAUCGCCACAGCAUGGUGGAGUCUAGUCCCAAUCACUGCAGCUGAGAGACGAAAGAGAGAGGGAGGGAGAGAGCGAAAGAGACCAAGGAAGACAGAAGGGGGAGAGAGAAUGGGGGUGCAAGAGAGAGAGAGAGAUGGGAGGGAUACAGAUAGGGGAGGGAUGGACAGAUAGAGGGGGAAAUAGAAUGGGGGAAUGAGGGAGAAAAAGUCAGUAGAUCAGAAGUAGGAGUAAGUGGACCUCUCUGCUUCAGACUAUGAUGAAACUGUAGCAUGGCUUUUUGGCUGUAGUUAGAAACACAAACCCAGUAUUUAUAUCCCAUUCUUCUAUUACAUAGAUGGAAAUUAGUGCUUGAUUGACUGAUGGCUUACCUUUAUAGAACACCCCCCACACACCCUUCUUUUCUGAGAGUAGCCAGCUGUUGAGGCGAGGCACCUUCUUGAGGUAUGCACAUGUACAGAUGAACAGAAUCCCAAAUACAACAAUCCCAUCCAACGAGUACAC